rnacentral:rRNA from 1 species
AGGACGAACGCUGGCGGCGCGCUUAACACAUGCAAGUCGAACGCGCCUUAUUCCUUCGGGAGUAAGGUGAGUGGCGAACGGGUGAGUAACACGUGAGCAACCUGCCCUUGACCCUGGAAUAACAGCUGGAAACAGCUGCUAAUACCGGAUACGACCUCCGAUGGCAUCAUCUGGAGGUGGAAAGCUCCGACGGUCAAGGAUGGGCUCGCGGCCUAUCAGCUUGUUGGUGAGGUAACGGCUCACCAAGGCUUCGACGGGUA